UAGUCCACGCCGUAAACGAUGAAAACUAGCUGUUCGGUCGCGUCGUCGACUUAGUAGCGAAGCUAACGCGUUAAGUUUUCCGCCUGGGGAGUACGGCCGCAAGGCUAAAACUCAAAGGAAUUGACGGGGGCCCGCACAAGCGGUGGGGCAUGUGGUUUAAUUCGAUGCAACGCGAAGAACCUUACCUACCCUUGACAUCCUGCAAAGGUGCUAGAGAUAGCACUGUGCCUUCGGGAAUGCAGAGACAGGUGCUGCAUGGCUGUCGUCAGCUCGUGUCGUGAGGUGUCAGGUUAAGUCCUAUAACGAGCGCAACCCCUAUCGUUAGUUGCUAACAGGUUAAGCUGAGGACUCAAGCGAGACUGCCGGUGCAAACCGUGAGGAAGGUGGGGAUGACGUCAAAUCAUCACGGCCCUUACGUCCUGGGGCUACACACGUGCUACAAU
rnacentral:rRNA from 1 species